rnacentral:rRNA from 1 species
UACGUAGGUGGCGAGCGUUGUCCGGAUUUACUGGGCGUAAAGAGCGCGCAGGCGGUCGAUUUAGUCGUGUGUGAAAGCCCCCGGCUCAACUGGGGAGGGUCACGCGAUACUGAUCGACUCGAAGGCAGGAGAGGGUAGUGGAAUUCCCGGUGUAGUGGUGAAAUGCGUAGAUAUCGGGAGGAACACCAGUGGCGAAGGCAGCUCGCUGGAACGGUACUGACGCUGAGGCGCGAAAGCGUGGGGAGCAAACAGG